AUGGAGCUCUCGCCCUUGAUUGUCCAAACGCAAUUCUUGUUCCAAUAGAAAUAUCAAGCCAAGAAUUGUGCCUGGACAUCUGUGGCUGGUGAUCC